GGUUUUUUGGGUUUUUUUCGAAAUCUUGUUGUUGUUGUUCUUGCUGUUGUACUUUGUUGUUGUGUGUUUUGCUGUUAACUUAAUAGGACUCUCAGAAAAUAUUGCUUUGUUGUUUGGGUUUGAAAAAAUGAAUUGCUCUGUUGUUCUUGUUUAGGGUUUUGAGAAAAUAUAUCUUGCUUGUUCUGUUGGAUCUCAAAAACGUGUCCUCUCACUGUUAAUUGAUUUUGUUAUAUAUGAAUGUUGGUUUCUGUGAGAUAACUUGUUGGAUCUUGUUUCCAGAUUUUAUGGGAUGUUUGCUUUGUGGAUUUAAGGUGAAGUGAUGUUGAUUAGGAAAGGAGGCGGCGCCAGCUUGGGAUUGGGGCGUUGGAGCUUCCAAAAGAGCUUUUGGAAAAGUCUUGGAAGCUGCUUCAAUCUGUUGGAUACUCAACUUGUUCAAUUUUUCUUCAAAUUUAUUUAGCUGUAACAAAUCUUUUGGAUUGUAACCUUAGGGACUAAUCAUGUAACCUCUGUUGAAUUAUUUGUAAGAUCUGCAUAUUUUAAACUCUUUUGAUUAUGCCUUGGCCUUUUUUGGAGUAAUUUGUAACAUUUGGAUUUAAUUAGAACUUUGAAUAUGAAAAUUGGGGUUGAAACGUAUAACCUCCUGUAUCA